AUUCAUUACUUCCUCGUGUCUAUGCUUCAGCGUGGUCUUUCUCGUCUCUGCUUUCGAAAGGAGCUGGAAUGGAAAUGAAGUGCUACAUAAAUGGAACAUGGCUGAUGUUAAAAGCACGUGGCCUGGACUUCCAGCCACCUGACUGAGGUUUUUCUGUGCUGAAUCUGACGUGUCUUCACUUCAGUAGAAAAGCAGCUGGUUAGAAAUAAGCACCAAACCUCAACAGGUUCAGAUGUUCACAGGAGCCGAAAGGGAACACGCAAGCCGAACGAACACCAACGAAAUGCCACGUUAAAUAUGGAGGUGCUGUGGCUGCGUCCUGACGUCCAGAUCAGCAGGUCUACGUUCAGCACAGACGUGUUUUUUAUCUGCUAGUACAUUUAACGAUUGAUGUUGACUGCAUUGUCUUUACCGAUGUGUAAAAGUAGUCGUUAGAUCUUUUCUGUAAAACAAAUAAAUGUGUAAAAGCCUGUAUCUGUACUGUCCUGUAUCAUAAUGUUAGUAUGACUUCUCUAACUCAAAAACAUUUAUAUAAAGUACUUCAUAAUGUAAUGUGCUUUAGGAUUGUGCUUUCUUUCCAAAGAUAUCUUUUGUGUUGGUUUUGUGCUGCUUUCGUGUACCGAUUCAACGUUGGUUACGUGGUUUAGUCUGAUGAAUUUGACUUUCCUCUGAAAUGAGAAGUCUGAUUUAAAGAUUUUUACAUGUGCCUGUGUACGGUGAAAUUCGCAAAUAAAAAUACAGAUGGUACAAAAACAGCUUACAAUGUAAGAGAACUCUUAUUCAAUAAAAACUAUUUGUAACAA